rnacentral:rRNA from 1 species
UACGAAGGGGGCGAGCGUUGUUCGGAUUUACUGGGCGUAAAGGGCUCGUAGGCGGCCAACUAAGUCGGAUGUGAAAUCCCCAGGCUUAACCUGGGAAUUGCAUCCGAUACUGGAUGGCUUGAAUCCGGGAGAGGGAUGCGGAAUUCCAGGUGUAGCGGUGAAAUGCGUAGAUAUCUGGAGGAACACCGGUGGCGAAGGCGGCAUCCUGGACCGGCAUUGACGCUGAGGAGCGAAAGCCAGGGGAGCAAACGGGG